rnacentral:rRNA from 1 species
AAAUUGAAGAGUUUGAUCAUGGCUCAGAUUGAACGCUGGCGGCAGGCCUAACACAUGCAAGUCGAACGGUAACAGGAAGCAGCUUGCUGCUUCGCUGACGAGUGGCGGACGGGUGAGUAAUGUCUGGGAAACUGCCUGAUGGAGGGGGAUAACUACUGGAAACGGUAGCUAAUACCGCAUAACGUCGCAAGACCAAAGAGGGGGACCUUCGGGCCUCUUGCCAUCGGAUGUGCCCAGAUGGGAUUAGCUAGUAGGUGGGGUAACGGCUGACC